rnacentral:lncRNA from 1 species
AACUCGGCUCGUUACUAACCGAGCCGAGCUCAAAAUUAGGAUCGAGCUGAACUAUGAGCUCGAGCUCGGCUCGCGAGCCAAAAGUAAAACUCGAGCUUGGCUCGUUUCGGCUCGCUAGCUCGUUUGGCUCGUUUGACUCGUUUGACUCGUUCGGCUCGUUAUAAUACUAAUUCACUGUACAAACAAUAUUUCACUGUAUACAAACAAUAAUUCAUACAAACAAUAAAUUACUUCAAAUCAAGAGAGAACAUGAUAGCUUGGGGAAUCAAAAUGAUGAGGAUGCAGAGGGCGUUAAAAAUGUUAGGCGGACCUCCAUUAAAGCAGCACUAAUGCUGCUGCUUGGUACUGCUAUUGCAGCAGCAUUUGCAGAUCCCCUUGUUGAUGGGGUUGACAAUUUCUCCAGUGCUACAAGUAUUCCAUCUUUUUUCAUAUCUUUUAUCGCACUUCCAUUGGCUACUAAUUCAAGUGAGGCAGUGUCGGCACUUAUUUUUGCCAGUCGAAAGAAGAAGAGAACGGCAUCUUUACAUAAAUUGCUUCAUAUUUAUUAAAUCUCUCACCUGAGUAACUUCUGUAGACAACAACCCAAUCAAGAAUAACCCAACUCUAUAUCUCCUUCUGCAGUGUAAUUGAUGAAUUCAAUUGUUGGAGAAAACAACCUGAUUUCGCUGAACCUGUUGCUGCUAUUUUCUGUUGUUGCUGCUAUCCCUAAUUAAGUAGGGAAGGGGGAAUUAGGGAGAAGAUGAGUGAGAACUGAGAAGGGGGAAUUAGGGAGAAGACGAUUGUUUGUUGAUUAAAGCAGAGAAGACGAGUGGAAGGAGGGAAUUAGGGAUUUUGGAGAUGCACAGUCAAAAUUUUGUGAAGAAGAAGAAGAAAGGGAAAACUUGGUCAUGUUUUAUUUUUCCUUCUCCAAACAGCCACGACCCUAAAAAAGACCGGUGGUAACAUAGUAAUUGCAUUUGCAAAUAGUUAACGAGCUGCUCGGCUCG